rnacentral:rRNA from 1 species
GACGAACGCUGGCGGCGUGCUUAACACAUGCAAGUCGAACGGAAAGGCCCCUUCGGGGGUACUCGAGUGGCGCACGGGUGAGUAACACGUGAGUAACCUGCCCUUGACUUCGGGAUAACUUCAGGAAACUGGGGCUAAUACCGGAUAGGAAUCCUUGCUGCAUGGUGGGGGUUGGAAAGCUUCGGCGGUUUUGGAUGGACUCGCGGCUUAUCAGCUUGUUGGUGGGGUAGUGGCUUACCAAGGCUUUGACGGGUAGCCGGCCUGAGAGGGCGACCGGCCACAUUGGGACUGAGAUACGGCCCAGACUCCUACGGGAGGCAGCAGUGGGGAAUAUUGCACAAUGGGCGGAAGCCUGAUGCAGCAACGCCGCGUGCGGGAUGACGGCCUUCGGGUUGUAAACCGCUUUCAGCAGGGGCGAAGCUUGCGGUGACGGUACCUGCAGAAGAAGCACCGGCUAACUACGUG